GUCUGGUGCCAGCAGCCGCGGUAAUUCCAGCUCCAAUAGCGUAUAUUAAACUUGUUGCAGUUAAAAAGCUCGUAGUUGAAUUUCUGCGUCACCGUAUUUUGACUUUUGUCGACUGUCGGUUUCGCUUUUGGGAUUUAUCCCUUUUUACUUUGAGAAAAUUAGAGUGUUUCAAGCAGACUUUUGUCUUGAAUACUUCAGCAUGGAAUAAUAAAGGAGGACUUUGGUUCUAUUUUGUUGGUAUGUGAA
rnacentral:rRNA from 1 species